rnacentral:lncRNA from 1 species
UUAGGGAGCUACCAUUUGAUUUUUAUGGGGGGGGGGGCUAGGAUGAAAAAUUUUGUCCUGCUUUUUUUUUAGUUGUAAUCUCUGUCCUGCCUUUUUAGUUUUUACUCUAUUCGGUCCUGCCUUUUUUUUUUACUAGUUUAUCCUGAUUUUUUUUACACAAAUUGUCAUCCUGCCUUUUUUUUUAACAAGUUUCUCAUCCUGCCUUUUUUUUUUUACUCAAAACUCCUGUCCUGCUAUUUUUU